rnacentral:rRNA from 1 species
GACGAACGCUGGCGGCGUGCUUAACACAUGCAAGUCGAGCGGUAAGGCCCUUUCGGGGGUACACGAGCGGCGAACGGGUGAGUAACACGUGGGUGACCUGCCUUUAGCUCUGGGAUAAGCCUGGGAAACUGGGUCUAAUACCGGAUAUGACCCUAUGGCGCAUGUUGUGGGGUGGAAAGCCUUGUGCGGCUAGGGAUGGGCCCGCGGCCUAUCAGCUUGUUGGUGGGGUGAUGGCCUACCAAGGCGACGACGGGUAGCCGGCCUGAGAGGGCGACCGGCCACACUGGGACUGAGACACGGCCCAGACUCCUACGGGAGGCAGCAGUGGGAAUCUUGCGCAAUGGCGAAAGCCUGACGCAGCGACGCCGCGUGAGGGAUGACGGCCU